CCUACGGGUGACUGCAGUGGGGAAUAUUGCACAAUGGGGGAAACCCUGAUGCAGCAACGCCGCGUGAGUGAAGAAGUAUUUCGGUAUGUAAAGCUCUAUUAGCAGGGAAGAGAAUGACUGUACCUGACUAAGAAGCUUCGGCCAACUACGUGCCAGCAGGCGCGGUAAUACGUAGGGGGAGAGCGUUAUCCGGUGUUACGGGGGGUAAAGGGAGCGUAGACGGUUCUGCAAGUCUGAAGUGAAAGCCCGUGGCUUAACCGGGGAACGGCUUUGGAAACUGUGGAACUGGAGUGCUGAAGAGGCGAGCGGAAUUCCUAGUGUAGCGGUGAAAUGCGUAGAUAUUAGGAAGAACACCAGUGGCGAAGGCGGCUUGCUGGACAGUAACUGACGUUGAGGCUCGAAAGCGUGGGUAGCAAACAGGAUUAGAUACCCUUGUAGUC
rnacentral:rRNA from 1 species